rnacentral:rRNA from 1 species
UACGAAGGGGGCUAGCGUUGCUCGGAAUCACUGGGCGUAAAGGGUGCGUAGGCGGGUCUUUUAAGUCAGGGGUGAAAUCCUGGAGCUCAACUCCAGAACUGCCUUUGAUACUGAGGAUCUUGAGUUCGGGAGAGGUGAGUGGAACUGCGAGUGUAGAGGUGAAAUUCGUAGAUAUUCGCAAGAACACCAGUGGCGAAGGCGGCUCACUGGCCCGAUACUGACGCUGAGGCACGAAAGCGUGGGGAGCAACAGGGAUUAAGAAACC